CAUCAACUAUCAUACUGCUGAAUCCUACAACUCCAACCCCUGAUGGGGUUUGCAGGGCUCAGGGAGAACAGCGACCAAUCAUCAAGGACUCAGCAUGAGUCAGACUCUCCACCUGCACCAGCUCUAAUUCCACAAACUCCAUGAGAGGGUUCUAUUGUCCCCCUUCAAGGAUUUAGGAAACAGAGCUUAGAGUUGAGAACUGAUGUCUCUUGAGUGCUGACUGCAUGCACGCCCUGCUGCCUCCUCCAUGUGCAUUACCCCACUGACUGCUCACAGCUGUGCUCUAAAGUAGGGACUAGCAUCAUCCCUGUUUCCAACAGAAGAUAUCUAGUUCCAGAGAGGUUAGGAAACUUGCCCAGGGUCAAGGGUGGCCUUGAGAAAGCAGUUUGAAAUCUUGCUCAGGGCCUCUCUGCUCUGGUAACUGGUUCCACGGACCAGACUCAGCCCAUGAGACUUCUCCCUGCCUACUCGCAAGACUUCCUCUUCAGAAAGAGGGAUCAGCAUGAACAGUAUAAUCUUUGGAGAGGGAAUGGGGAUAUGUCCCCACUCCCAAGGUCCUGUAAUGAGACUACUGAAAUACACAAUCUUUACAGAUUGGGAGAUUCACAAGGCCUAUUUUAUAACAGAUAUCACCAUAAAACUUCAGUGAGUACAUCUUGCUUCCCACGAAGUCUCCCAUCAAAGGAGUGUGCCAUUCAGAUUAUGUAUGGCAAAUGGUAUAGUACACAAUUUAGCCUGGGGAAAGUGCUCUGGAAACACAGGCUCCUCUUGCCUGUAUUUGGCCUGAAAUGUUUUCUGUGUUUAUACACAGCUGUUGUUUGGUUCCACUUCUCUCAGACCAGCAAGGCAGUACUGCUUACAAUAACAACCGGCUAGGCCAGGCCUUGUCACCCUUAUGUGGGUGAUGGGGAGCCACACAGAACCUAAGUUUUUUCUGUCUUUUUGGUUUAUAUUUACAAGUGUUUUAUAACUUUCAGAGCCAAUUUGUUGACAGUUUCUAAGGUUAGCAACAUCACCCCCAUCAGACACCUCUUGGCCAUCUCCUAGACGGGAUCUUACACCAUCUAUUCCCAAUCAUUGCUUCUUGCUUACUGUGUAAAUUGCAUUUAUCACUCUAAAAGGACUUGAGACAUCUUGACUGUUUUCUCCUAUGUGGAACUUGAAGUGCAUCGAUUUCUGUUGCUGCAGCCCUAGCUAUAUGUUUAUUAUCUGUCAGUUCUAGUUUACACAGAAGUUACCUCGACAGAACUUAACAGUCUAAAACCAGCUCACAAAAUAAGAGAAUCAAAAGCCUGAUUUCAUUCACAUAUUGACAUUUGUCAUCCACCCUCCCGCUUCUACUCAACAUAAUGCUACCAGAAAGGCCUCUGGCAUUCAAGGGCUCUCUCUCCCUCAGCACUGGCCAGCAGAAAAGCCUUCUAAAAGCCUCCAUAGCUAGAAGAGAACAAAGUUGUCACUUCUUGUGAUCAAAUUCAGCACUUCCUGUUCUUCUGCCACCAUCAUGAAUGCAUGUUACACAGAAAAGCCACAUGAGGCUGAGUCCCAGGACUCCCACAACACCAGGAAUACAGUUAUCUCCAGGCAAGUCCUGGGGAACUACUGCAGUAUGCCUGUGGACAUGCUCAGUCGCUCAGUCGUGUCCAACUCUGCAAUCCCCAUGUACCUAAGCCUGCCUGGCUCUUCUGGCCAUGGAAUUUUCCAGACAAGAGUACUGGAGUGGGUUGCCAUUUACGGGAUCUUCCUGACCCAGGGAUCAAAUCUGCAUCUUUUGCAUCUCCUGC
ensembl:lncRNA